rnacentral:rRNA from 1 species
CGAACGCUGGCGGCAGGCCUAAUACAUGCAAGUCGAACGGCUCUUCGGAGCAGUGGCGGACGGGUGAGUAACGCGUGGGAAUGUGCCCUUAGGUACGGAACAACACAGGGAAACUUGUGCUAAUACCGUAUGUGCCCUUCGGGGGAAAGAUUUAUCGCCUUUGGAGCAGCCCGCGUUGGAUUAGGUAGUUGGUGAGGUAAAGGCUCACCAAGCCGACGAUCCAUAGCUGGUCUGAGAGGAUGACCAGCCACACUGGGACUGAGACACGGCCCAGACUCCUACGGGAGGCAGCAGUAGGGAAUCUUGCGCAAUGGGCGAAAGCCUGACGCAGCCAUGCCGCGUGUAUGAUGAAGGUCUUAGGAUUGUAAAAUACUUUCACCGGGGAAGAUAAUGACGGUACCCGGAGAAGAAGCCCCGGCUAACUUCGUGCCAGCCGCCGCCGUAAAAC